AAAUAAGAGUACCACCAUUCUAGUGACAGCCAGUUUUUUUUAGUAUUACCACAGCAUCAAACCAACAUGUGGAGCAUCUGACCUGCAUUCUCUUAACUUUGCUGCUGACUUGGGCUGAGAAAUCAGAUUUCAUAUGUCCAGGAGUUUGCAGUUGUCUCUUCCAAAUUUAUUUAGAAAUCUACUCUUGAUAAUGUUUAACCCAAUUACACAGGAGAUUAAAUAAGAAUUAUCUACCUCCUUACCCCUCCUUCAUAUACACCAAGUCUGUAACUCCCACUCUUACCAUCUCUCUUCUCCUGAACUUUUCCUCUUGGCUAAGACCUCAGUCCUAGAGAGUAAUAAUUAAUUUCAGCAAGCCUGGUGUGAGGAAAAAGGAACAACAGAAAGCACAUAAUUCUUAAUACAGUUGCUUGUUCACACUCCAGUUCUACUCUAUAUCUGUGUGAGAUAAUGUGAUUCUAGCUUAGUGAUUUAGCAAACCAUUUUUAGUACAUGUCAUCCAGUGAUUUCCUUUUAAUACCCUGGGCAGACGCAUCUUACAUUUAGAUUCCUAAGACAUAGAAAAAGUAAAACAGAGGAUCUGUUUUAAUACAACACCCUUCUCAACUGGCUUGAUAUUAUUUUAUCUAUUUAUGUUGUUUGUGAUUACAAAUAGGACAUAUAGUUGCACUUUCCUUUUAAAAAUGUGGAUUUGUUAACAUAUUUUCUGUGUUAUAGAUUUAGUAAAAUCAUAAAAGGCUUAAAUCUAAGGAGACUAGUGUCUUCUAAAAGAGUAGAACUAAGAACAGACCAAAUUCCCAGUAAGUUUGAGGAACGUGACCUAAAAAAGGCAAGAAAUAGAGUUAAGCUCUUUAAAACUCCACAACUCCAAUUCCCCUCACGCUUCUUUAUUAUCUCUAUAGCAUAGUCUUCUAUCUGAUAUAAAAUAUAUUUGCUGGCUUAUUUAUUUACUCCUGUCUUCCUCCACCUAAAAUGUAAAUUCCAAGUAGUCAGGGAGUUGGACUCUUAUUCACUGCUCUUUCUUCAAUACUUAGAUUGUGCUGGCACAGAGUGGGUCCUCAAUAAAUAUCAAUAAGUCGUGAUCAAAUGAAUGUUACUAGUAUGCUUUUUUGGAAUCUAUAAAGAUUUGAGGCCUACCAUACAAUCAGUUUUGAUAAAUAUGCCUCAGGUGCUUGAAAAGAACUGUGUUCUCUAUAGGAUACAUGUGGUUCAAUACCAGUAUGUUACUCGAACCUAUUAUCCAAAAAACAUGUAAUUCAAAUGAUGAAAUCCAAAUUCUCUAUGCCUAUAUAUAUUUUUUUCCUACCUAGUCUGUUAAAUGCUCAAAGCAUUAUAUGAAAUUCCUAUAAUUGUUUUUCCAGAUGUUUCCCUUUUAUUAUUAAUAUUUAAAAUUACUGUAUUUCUAAGAGUCUUAUGUUACAUGUUUUAAUGUAACAUCAGAGACAUGUAAAGAUUGGUGACAACUAUUUUCAUUGUAGAUUGUAACUCUGAUCCAAAAAAUGUCCCUCUUUUUAAAAAAAUUUAAGUUGUUUUAUAUUGUCUUUCUUGAAUUUUACUUUUUCUAGAUUUAAUGCUGUUCUUAGUGCUUGCUUUGAGUCUGUGUUUACUUGUGAAGUUUUGUCCAUUCAUUGAUUUUUACAUGUCUUUAAUAUGUUACAAUCAAUAUGUAUUUGGAUUUUGUUUCUUAACCAGUCACAAAUUCUUCACCAUUUAAAAGUAGAAUUUAUAACAGUUACAUUUAUUGUAACUGCACUCUAUUUAGUCUUAUUUGAACUUUUGUUAUUUUAUUAUUUAUCACUGUUGGUAGUUUAUUUUCCUAGUUUUUAUUAUAUAGAUUCUAUGGCUUACUUUUAGUUUCCCAGUUAGUACACAAUUUUCAAAUCUGUAAAAGUAAGUACAUCUAUAUACACUCUGCUUCUAAAUCUAAAGUUCAGUUCAUCAAUUCAUUAAUCUACUAUUUAUUGAGCACCUAUUAUAUACUAGAAAAUAUUCUAGGCAGUUGAGAUACAUCAACAAAAUACACAACACAUGGAACUUUGUUCUAGUGAGUUGCUUUAAAUAAAUUAGAAAUAAUUAUCAUAUAAUUAAUUUAUUGAUAAAGUAGAAAAUUAAAUAAAGUCUUUUUUGCUUUUCUAAUUUAGUGUAAGGAAUUUCAAAUACUUUAUCCUCACUUUUAUUCCCUGCCAUCCCAAUUUAAAGUCAUUGUCAAAACAAUCUAUGUGUUUAGACCUGAAAGCUUACAUUAAUAUUUAUUUACAGCUUACACAGAUUCUAUUCCAAUAUUACAUUUUGUUUUGUUCAUUUGUCUAUCCAAAAACUACAAUUUACUUAUACUGUUAAUUAUGUUUAACAAUUUUAUAUCACACUAAUCCUUUAAUGACACCAUUUUCCUAUGUUAAAAUUCUUGCUUUUGAUUCAUCAUUCAGUCAGCUGCAAUUCACCUUCAAGUAAUAUUUGCAAAAUGAACAUAACUUUCUGAGCCAAGCAUAUCUGAAGUUAGCAUUCUAUUGUUUUUAUAUGUAAAUAAAUAUUUGGUUAGGAUACAUUUUUUUUUCUUCUUGAGACAGUCUUACUCUGUCACCCAGCUGGACUGCAGUGGCAUGAUCUCUGCUCACUGCAACCUCUGCUGUAUGAGUUCAAGUGAUUCUCCUGCCUCAGUCUCCCAAGUAGCUAGAAUUACAGGCACCCACCAUAAUGUGUGGCUAAUUUUUGUAUUUUUAGUAGAGUUGGGGUUUCACCAUUUUGGCCAGGCUGGUCUCAAACUCCUGACCUCAAAUGAUCUGCCUGCUUCAGCCUCCCAAAGUGUUGGGGUUACAGUUGUGAGCCACCACGCCUGGCCAGGAUAAAAUUUUUAGGUUGUAAGUUGAUAUCCUCCCCUGAAAACUCUGUAGCACCUUUUCUAUUGCCUCCAGAUAUUCCAUGUGGCAAAGAAGUCAGUUGCUAAUAAGACUUUUAAUUCCUUUGUGGACAACAUUUUUACCUGUAUAGUUGACAGUAGGAUGUGCUAAAUAUCUUGAUGAAUCAAAUAUUUUGUUCCAGUAGGUAUCUAUGUAGAUUUGCAUAUUUUCAUACUAGGCCACUGGAAUAAGGACAGUUCUUUUCACCUCUAUACUCAUUUGUUUUUGUUUUAUUUUGCCUUCAAACUCAGGUAAGUGUCAUCCAUGUACUUUCUUUUUUUCCUUGCUAAUUUGUACUUGCUAAUUGCCUCCUUUGCAGCUGCCCUAAUGUCUUCCUCUGGAAUGUGUGUCUAAACUCUUAAGGUUAAAUAGACAUUUCUUCAAUCUCUACUUUCUGUUUUUUCUUUUUUAUUUUUUUUUAUCAUUUCUUCACUAUUAUGAAGUUCUUUUUUUUUUGUUGUUUGUUUGAGAUGGAGUCUCCCUCUGUUGCCAGGCUGGAAUGCAGUGGCACAAUCUCAGCUCACUGCAACCUCUACCUUCAGGGUCCAAGCAAGUCUCCUGCCUCAGCCUUCUGAGUAGCUGGGACUACAGGUGCGUGCCACCAUGCCCAGCUACUUUUUGUAUUUUUAGUAGAGAUGGGGUUUUACCACGUUGGCCCGGAUGGUCUCAAUCUCUUGACCUUUGAUCCGCCCACCUUGGCCUCCCAAAGUGCUGUGAUUAAAGGCGUGAGACACCGCGCCCAGCCUAUGAAGUACUUCUUAUGUUUUUUUCUCCCUCUUACAGUUUCCAUUUUCAGUUCAGGCUCUAAUUUAUCCUUAUGACUUUGAACCCAAUUUCAUAGACAGAGGAUGCAAAAUAGUAUGUCUAUAUUUGUUUUCCAAUUCUUGUAGUAAAUCAGUUUUAAAGAUAAGCACUCACUCUCAUUUGUACAGAUAAUAAGAUGAUAUCAACUGUCUGUCUCUCUCUUUCUUUAAUUUUCUAUACUUAAACAAAAGGUCAUCUACACUGAUUAUAUGUUUGCUACUCAAUGGGGUUGGUGGAAUGUCUUGGCUUUCAUUAUUGACUACCUGGGAGCUCAUUAGACAUCCAUUUCUUACCUACAGCUAAAAUGCAGAAUAAUAUAUUGCCUAGUUCUUUCUUUCUUUUUUCUUUCUUUUUUUUUAUUUUUUAUUUUUGAUAGAGUUUUACUCUUGUCACCCAGGCUGGAGUGCAGUGGCGAUCUCAGCUCACUGCAACCUCCGCCUCCCGGGUUCAAGUGAUUCUCCUGCCUCAGCCUCCCAAGUAGCUGGGAUUACAAGCAUGCGCCACCACACUCGGCUAACUUUUGUGUUUUUAGUAGAGAUGGACUUUCACCAUGUUGGCCAAGCUGGUCUCAAACUCCUGACCUCAAAUGAUCCUCCCACGUCGGCUUCCCAAAAUGCUGGGAUUACAGACAUAAGCCACCGAGCCUGGCCUAUAUUGCCUAAUUCUAAGAACUUACAUGUAUGCAUCUAGCACGCUUGUACUGUAUUUCUCUUGGCCCCUUUCAUCUAGAAUUUAUGCAAGAGAAGGUCCUGUUAGUAGGGGUUAAACAUUUGGAUUCAGCUAUUCCUAAUUGCAUUUUAGUUAUUACAUCAUGUAACCCAAUACAUUUCUUUUGUUGUUGUUACUCUUUUUUGCUUGAUUCAUUUUUAAUGUUUCCUUUUGUAUUAAUUUUUUAAAUCCUGGAUAAAACAAUAGUUAUUAUUUCUUCAUGUGUUUUAGCAUGGCAGAAAGAAGGGUAGUCGAUAUAAUUGUAAAUGCUAAAAACUGAGUCAGCCAGAGUGUACACCAAUCAGCUAUCCAGCCUUAGAUCUAAGAAGAGGGUUUGGCUCUUAGACAAAUUGACUGAGUAGGACCAAGAACAAGUCAAACUCAUAUUUUGACCAACUGCAGGGAUGGAAACCAUGCUCAAGGAAAAUAAAGAAAAAGAAAACAUUAAAAGUAAAAUAAUAUUUUUCCUUUUAAAAAUAUUAUCCAGCAAAAACAAUGGAUUAUCUUAGUAAAAGAAAAGCAGAUCUCUGAAAAUGAUACAGGAACCCCAGAAUAUAAUUUUUAGAAAUUGACACUCUUUAUAGAAUGUAUACUACAUUAACUCUGAAACAGAGGCAUAAAUCAGAGAAAAUAGAUUUAAUAAAAAGACAUGAGGCUGAUAUUUAACAAUGGGUGUGUAUAAUAAGGAAGGAUACCAAGAGAAUUAAACAGUAAUGAUAGAUUUUAAAUUCACAAAAAUUGAUGCUAAUAAAGAGUGGAAUCAAUACAAUAGAAAACUGAUUCAUUGCAUGCAGGUCAUACUUAAAAAGUUCUCUUGUAAUAUAGAAGAAAAAACAAAGUUGAAAUGAAGAGAAAGAACAUAAUACAUAUGAUAUUAAACAUAUAGAUCUAACUUUAGAAUUUUCCAAAGAAAGAUAUAAAAUUGGAAUAUAAGUAUAAUAAAAUGUAAUAUGGAAGAAUUUUCUUGAGUUGAAAAAUUGGCUCAAUUAUCCAAAUUGAAAGAGUCCUCCUUAUAAUAAGCAAGGAUUAAAAAGAAAUAUCUACAUUUAGAUAAAUCCUGAAAAAUUUUUAAAUUACCAAGAACGCUGUCAUUAUACAGGCCAGAUAGGAAAAAAGUCCGUAAGAAAAAACAAAACCAACAAUAGGAUAUCUAGAAAGUAACAAAAAAUCGCACACCCAGUCUCUCUGCAACUGUAUUUCAGAAUAGGAUAGAGCAGCAUCCAUAGAGUUUUGGGAGAAAACAUCAUGACCCAUGGAUAUUACACUUAAGAAAAUUUCUUUUCUGGAAUAUUCAAGGGCUCAGAAUAUAUAGCACCCCUGAAUUCAUUUUGAAAGCAAAGUAGGGGUUCAAGCACAUGUUAUAUGUAAGAGAAUUUGUGGGUCUUUUCAUUCUUUGUUUGAUUCCAACUCAGGAAUCCAGGUGGACUGCUUCCUGUCAGGGGAAUUUUGCAACCCAGGGGAUAUACAUGGCUCUACCAUAUUCCUCUGCUGUUUCUUUUCUGCUUCCACAUUUCCACCAAUUUCCAAAAUCUCUUCCUUGUGCCACGUCUUCUACUUUACCAUUGAGAUGGCCUCUUGUAACUUACUUCAUAGUCAUUAAGUAAGUAGUCACUUAAAAUAACAGGUGCCAUCCUCAUCCAACCCCUUCUAACAAUGACAAAACUUAGUUUCAAGAGUUUAAAAUAGCUUUGAACCCUACAUUUUUAUUUAUUUCCCUACUAGAAAAACAGAGAAGAUAAAGUCUCUUUAUACUCAUUUUAACUGCUAGGAAAUUUUAUUAUAACUCUCUGUAACUUUUUAAAAUUCUUAUUCAUAACCGGAGUCAUUGUUUUUUUCUAAUAUGAAACAGGUAGUUUAUUUUUGCCUGUUUUAUAUAUUUUUUCUUUUUCAGGUUUUAAAUUUUAUUGAGUGUACUGCUUUUAUAGUAAAUAUAUACUUGAUUAAAAUUUUUAAAAAUAGCUUUCCCACAGUAGAGAUAUGGAUGCCCAAUUAGGUGUGUUGACCUUGGACUUCUGAGCCAGGAUUCUUAGAAGCCGAGUUUUCUAGCCAUCAUUUAGACCUGCACUUAUCCACCAAUUAAAAAAAAAAAAAUGAGCACCUUCCUAAUACUUCGUAUAUAUAGAAGAACAAAAUCAACACAGUCUUUAUUCUCAAGGAUAUUACAAUCUUUUGGGCACACAGGUAGUAAAUUGAUAAAUCCCUACCCCCCAACAUCCAACAUAUCUUUUUUUUUUUUUUUCUUUUUGAGACGGAGUCUCGUUCUGUCCCCCAGGCUGGAGUGCAGUGGCACGAUCUCGGCUCACUGCAAGCUCCGCCUCCCGGGUUCACGCCAUUCUCCUGCCUCAGGCUCCCCUCCCGAGCAGCUGGGACUACAGGCGCCCGCCACCACGCCUGGAUAAUUUUUUGUAUUUUUAGUAGAGACGGGGUUUCACCGUGUUAGCCAGGAUGGUCUCGAUCUCCUGACCUCGUGAUCCGCCCGCCUUGGCCUCCCAAAGUGCUAGGAUUACAGGCGUGAGCCACCGGGCCCGGCCCCAACGUAUCUUUAUCAAUGUGGAUGUGUGCCAGCAGAGCACAGUAGCUCUGUUUCAUGAAGCACUUCUUAACUUAUUUUCUCACAGCAACCGAGCAUAACGGUUUUGAGCAUGGACUCUGGAGUCAGAGAAUCUGGGUUCAAAUUAAGACCCUACUACUACUUACCAGCAGUGUGAUUUUAAUGUGUUGAUAAUAAUACUGGCCUAGUAGAGUGCAUCGGGAUUGAAUGAGUCAACAGUUGUAAAUUGUUUAGACUGCUUGGUACACCAUAAAUCAGGGGUCCCCAUCCCCCAGGCCAUGGACCGUGCCAGUCCAUGGCCUGUUAAGAAUCAGGCCGCACAAGAGAAUCGCUUGAACCUGGGAGGCAGAGGUUGCAGUGAGCCGAGAUUGCGACACUGCACUCCAGCCUGGGCGACAGAGUGAGACUGUCUCACAAAAACAAAAACAAAAAAUCAGGUGGCAUAGCAAGAAGUUAGCUGCAGGCAAGCAAAUGAAGCUUCAAAUGUAUUUACAGCUGCUCCCCAUUGCUCACAUUACUGCCUGCGCUCCAUCUCCUGUCAAAUCAGUGGCAGCAUUAGAUUCUCAUAGGAACCUGAACCCAAUUAUGAAGUGUGCAUGCAAAGGAUCUAGGUUGUGUGCUUCUUAUGAGAAUCUGAUGCCUGAUGAUCUGUCACUGUCUCCCAUCUCUGCCAGAUAGAACCAUCUAGUUGCAAGAAAACAAGUUGAGGGUUCCACUGAUUCUACAUUAUGGUGAAUUAUAUAAUUAUUAUGUAUUACAAUGUGGCAAUAAUAGAAAUAAAGUGCGUAAUAAAUGCAAUGCACUUGAAUCAUCCUGAAACCAUUCCCGCCCCCAUCCAUGGAAAAAUUGGCUUCCACAAAACUGGUCCCCAGUGCCAAAAAUGUUGGCGACCAGUGCCAAAAAUGUUGGCGACCACUGCCAUAAAUGAUCUAACGGCGUUAAAUGAAAUCCAGCAUGAUAAACUUUAUAAUUACUUCUAGAAAUAAAAGAUUCUUGCCAUAGCUUAACUCCCUGCCUUGAUUUUCAUUGUCAUUUCAAGCUUUUUAUUUUUUCUAUGUCCUUUUUCUGAAUUUGAAGCAAAGAUGAAAAAUGAUAUGUUGGAGUUAUUCAGUCAGACACCAUUUUUAAUCACAAGUCUUGGAAAACUGAAUAGAUUAUCUGAGCAGGCCCAAGCCACUGGUGUAUUUAAAUGUUCACAUAUAGACAUUUCUAAUACCCAAAAAGAAAGUAUGCCCUUUGCCUAUUGCUUUGAUAACCCUUUGCUGUAAGGAAGGAGAUCAUAUUUAAAUUCCUCCUUUCAAACAUGUCUAUCUUCCCAGAUCCAGGGCUCACAAAAUGACUUAAUGUGGCUUGUUAGGCUCGUGGGUGGGCAGGCUGGAGACUCAGUCACUAUGGCAAUGACAGGUUUAAAUAAACAGUGCUAGUAAUAUAAAUAAGCUGCCGCCACAAAGCAACACUUUUAAACCAAACACAGAACCACAUUUUAAUGACAGUAAGCUUAGAAACUUUUAGUUAAUAUUAAAUUAACUAGGUCUCUAUGCUUCAGCUUUCUCUUUCUUACAAAAUCUUAAAAAUUCCCCUAUGUAAUUCCUUUUCUAUUCCAGUUUCUUUUUAUACAUUUCUAAUAUUUUUUUCUGGAAGUCCCAUAAGGUUGGUUAUAUUGCAGUUUCUCGUCAAUUACAGUAUACAUAAUUCCUUACUCUUAAGAAAAGGGCUGCAGAAUACUUGUUACAGAGAGAUAAAACAUUUUAGUAGUUCUUCUGACAUUCUAUUUGAAUAGUAUGUACCCUACAAAAACGACAACUAUCCUGAGUAUACACAAUCAACACAUGUUGACACAUUUAUUCCUUACAACUUGUUGAGAUGGUGCCUCAUGCUACAGAGAACACUGUUUCACAGAAGUCAAAGAGCUCACCCCAAAUUCAUACCACUUUUGGGUGACAGAACUCUCAUUUGGACUCAGAUAUUCUGACUUUUUUUAGGUCCAGGGCCUCUGACACUUCCAUCAUUAUAGGGAAAGAAAAAAAGCUGAAUUUGCUUUACUUCUGAUUCAUUUUUGUGUUUCAUCUCUAAGAAUACAUAAUUCAUAACUGACAGUAGACUCUUUUCUUUCCUAAUAAAAUAAAUGUGGAUUUCUUUAUAUUUCAGUGUGCUUUUUAAUUCAGCUAAUGGCUAAAGAAGGGAAAAGAAGUAAUAGUUCCAAUAAAGCUAUUUUUAUUUAUUAAAAAGUUUAUGUUCUUAGUCAUAUGUUCUAGAUUCUGAAAGAAGAAAGUAUUCAUUUAAGAACAGAUAAACAAGUUAUAACCUUCCUGUUUAAUUUGUGGGAAGUUUAAAAAGGUCAAAUAUGAUGCACAAAAUUUUCUGCAUGAUGCUUGUUAUCUACUAAGAUGAAAUUUUAAUUUGGGAAAACAGUAAUUAAGAAUCUUUCCUCUCUUUACUACAAACACUGCAUUUUCUUAUUGUUGAGAGUUAUAUAUGCUCACUGAGAUGGAAAUACCAUACAGAACAAUGUUUUUCAAAUAAAUGUCUUUUAAUUAUUACUUUAUUGAAGAAAAUGCCCUUUAAUACUAAGUACAAGAGAAGAAUUGAAAUAAAAGGAAACAGUGUAGGUAAAAUAAUUUUUAAAAGGAGAUGAUUAAAAUUGACUAUUACUACAAACAAUUGAGGUUGGGGAAAUUUAAAAAGGGGAAGUCAUGGAUGUGUAAAAUAGGUAUAUUGAGUCUUUUAAAAGGCAAAUUUAAAGUGUUGCUAGUUUCUGACCAGAUAUUAGGACAAGAGGUGACAGAGAGACCCCCAUUAAAAUGCUUGGUGAGCACUCCAGAGGCCGCCUUUGAGUUAAUCGGUAAUUUUUCACAGACGACAUCUAAUCUGUGAGUAUAAAUUACUUUGCACUCUUAUUAUUCCUUAAUUGAAGUGCACCAAUGUGAAAUUGCCAUAGAUGUCGCAGGAAUGAUUCUAGCCUCAAUUAACUUGGGUGGAAUUGAAGCCCUUUUUUCCCUUAACUGGGAUUAUUGUCUGACAUCUUGUAUUUAUUUAAAUUGUUGCUAGAAAUUAGAGGGAGACUGUGUGUGACUAGGUGUUUUAUAAGGAUGUUCUGGAGCCAAAAGAGCAUCUGUGCAAUCUAUUUCUAUUUUAAUCUGUACCCAUUGUAUGCUGCUGUUUUGUGUAAUAGAUGUACUGCUAGCAGUAGCUUAACCUCCCUAGAUUCCAUUUGGGAAGUGGAGAUUAAUAGCACUCAUAUUUUUUUUAAAAGUGGCAUUUACAGUCUUUGUAAUUUUUAGUUCAAAAGGCAAUCACCCUAUUAAUUUUUUAAACUAAGUCUCCUACAUAGCUAUUUUUGUUUAAUAUAUAAAACAUGAUUUAGGCUUUCUUUCUAGAUUGUGGGGAAGGGCAACAUGAGUGAACUCUACUGUGUAUCCUACUUUACCCAUCCUAAAAACUAUUGGAAAAAUAUUUUACCGAUAGCUAUUUAACAUUAAUAAGUAACUGAAUUCAAAUAUCUUCUUCUGUUUUUUCCUAAUGAGUAUCAUUUGGGAAAAUAUUCUUGGUUUGUUGGUUUUCACCUGGAAUUAAAAACCAUGAAGAAAAUAAACCCGGUGUCUAAUUACACAGUAACCAAAUAGAUACAUGUAAAAUUAUCUCUACAAAGACUAUAACAUGCUGAUAAAAUUACUCCCAAUUCUCAACAUUACUAAUAAAUAUUAUUGAUAUCAUAGAUUAUAUAUAACUGGAGGUGUUUUCUAAAAGUAAAUUUUAUGAGGUCUCUGUAAUAACAAAUUGAUCAAUUUGCUUCAAAUAUUCUGCCCACUUACUUUACACAUUCUUAAGACCUAUAACCAGCCUUGAAUGUUGUCUCUGAAAGUCUCCUAUUAGAUGGAAAGGUUACCUAAUAUGGCAACCUAAUAACAUAUUGUGGAAGUUAAUUGGCAUUACCUGGAGACUGACAUCAAAGGUGAUUUUCUCUAGCUUCGAUAGAAUUGUACCCAUUGUCAAUUUGAUUCAAUGUACGUUUAUUGAGUUUCUAUUAUGUGACAAGCCCUAGGGAGACACAUUACAUGAUCCUUUUUCAUUCAAUAUAAUUUAGCAUAAGUUCAUUUAACAGAUUAUUUAGCUAGUCUCAAACAAAUAUUCUAGGAAUGAGAAUUGUAGUACUGUUUCCAGACGUCACUGGAUACUUGCUGAGGCUAGAAGAAAGCAGAAAGACUUAAAAGAAAUUUAGAAAUGGCAAGAUUCCCACUACAUUUUUACUUACCUAUUUUGAGUCAGUCAAAUUCAAUGAAAAUCAUUAAUUUUUCAGUAUAUUGGUUGCUCUGUAUAUGAUCUUAUCUUUAAAGCCAACUGUUUAUUAUUCCAAAACCAGCUUUCUAUACACAUGCAAGAUUUUUGAGAAGAAUAGACAAGGCCAUUAUUCUUGAGGAAAAACUUACUAGGAUGACCCUAAUUCCAUUUUUUUAAAAAUAGAGACAGGUUCUCACUCUGUCACUUAGGCUGGAAUGCGUGGCCUGAUCACAGCUCACUGCAAACUCAAACUCUUGGGCUUAAGUGAUCCUCCGGCUUCAGCCUCCCAAGGAGCUAGGAUUACAGGUGUAUGCCACCACACCUGAUUAAUUUUUCAAUUUUUUAUGGAAAUGAAGUCUCACUAUGUUGCCCAGACUAGUCUCAAACUCCUGGCCUCAAGUGAUCCUCCUGCUUCAGCCUCCCAAAGCGUUGUGAUUACAGGUGUGAGCCACUGUUUUUAGCUCCUAAUUCCAUUUUUAAUAAAGCUAUUUUUUUUUUUGAAGCUUAGAGGAAAUACACUCAUGAAUGAAUGGAUGGUUAAAUGGUUUGCACUGGGGGAAAAUUGGUCUUGAUAAUCUGCUGAUGGUCACAUUGAUGGAUUGGAUCAGCAGAAACCAAAGAAAGCAUAGCUGGUUCACUCUAGGAAUUUGACAAGUAAAUUAAACUAAUCCAACCUAAACACCCAUUGAUCUCAUUGAUCCUUAGCCUCAUUAUGCUAUGGUCCAUGUAGACAUACAGAGCAAAACAAUUCCUAAGAACCAAUAGCAUAGAGCCUAUAUAAUUGGAGUAUCUCCAAAUCUUAAGGUUGAUACAUCUUAAGCAUUCUCUAAAUUACUAUGGCUCAUUUCUACCUAUCUUAGGAAAGACUGUGCAUGCCUCUUCACAAUGCCAAUAACAUUUUUGAGGUAUUAUUAUUUUUUGGUGUUACUUGGAGAUCAAUAUCAAAGGUUCUUCCUCAGUUUUGACAGAACUGUGUCCAUUUUCAGUUGAAGUCAAUGUACAGUCGUUGAAUGACUAUUAUGUGUCAGGUUCUGAAGAUACGUAUCAUCUGGAAGCUGUACAACUAGUCCCUGACCUCAACAGGCUCACCAGUCAUUGAGCUUCCAUUUAACACAGGUUCUUCAUUAUUAUCUGGCUGAAGGUAGUGUGGAUGGCUGUGAAAGAUAAACCUACCUACGUUUUUCUGUUAAGAGUCUGUCUCUCAAAACUCUUCCGAAGAGCCUUUUAACAGGUCUUUCUUCUUCCUGCUGUCUCUCACUCUACCUCUACACCGUAUUCAGACUUCUCAUCUAAAUGAUUUUGUCAGUUCAGCCAGAAGUCUGUCCAAUCCUUUAACUUUACUUACAGUUAUCUAUAGCCUCUUGGUAGUUGACAACUGUCAGCUGGACCAACUUGCAUUCAUUAUUCACUCAUCAAGCAACCCAGCCUAGAGAUGAGAUAAAGAGCCCAAGCCAACAAACAGUCCAUUAAAGCUAUCUCAGGAAACCAAAAACAGCCAUCUCAGCUGGAAACCACCCUGGCUGUGAAAGACCAGACGUUUUCAGGCUCCACAGUGAUGGCUACUGCUCUGCUUUGCUCCAAUGUCUGACCUUAUCUGAACAAGAACUGAAAGGGUCUGUAAAUCUGCCUGAAAGUUUGCAGAUGUGUGAUGUAUAUUAAUUAGGUUCUUGAAAAAGAUAAUAAUCCAUAGGACAUGUUUUUAGCCUGUGUCUGUAUUCAAAAAAUAAGCAGACCAGGCAUGACUAAUUCAUUCAUAUUGGCUGUUAGCAAUUGACAUGGAUCACUGCACAAUCAGUUUAGCUUUGGCACUGAUAGGCACCAGAUUUCUAGCUCCAACUUCAGAUUUGCAAGUGGAACUCAGCUAGAUGAUAGAAAAGUAAAGGGACAUGUAGAGAGGAUUACAGUGCUCAGACCCCAUUUUCACUUGGGAGAAAUGAUAGCCAGAUUCACUUUUUUUUUAUUCUAUAAAUUUGUACAUAUGGCAUACUGUGUGUAGAGAUUGGCAGGAGAUAUAUGGAUGAUUUCUUUUCUUUCCCCUCAACCUUCUCAAAUGUUUAUCUUCUAAUAGGGAACAGAGUCAGGCAAAUAGACAGUUGUUUAUAAAGAAUAUCCACCAUUAAUAUGCAUAGUCACCAAUUCAGCAUUUAUUGAGCACAUAAUAUGUGUAGAAAGUGUGCUAGGGAUGCAUUGCAUAAUAAAGAGCACUAAAUAUGGACUGUAUAGGCUGGGCACGGUGGCUCACGCCUGUAAUCCCAGCACUUUGGGAGGCCGAGGCAGGCGGAUCACCUGAGGCUGGGAGUUUGAGACCAGACUGGCCAAAACAGGGAAACCCCAUCUCUACUAAAAAUAUAAAAAAUUAGCUGGGUGUGGUGGCACGUGCCUUUAGUCCCAGCUACUCAGGAGGCUGAGACACGAGAAUCGCUUGAACUUAGGAGGCAGAGGUUGCAGUGGGCCGAGAUCGUGCCACUGCACUGUAGCCUGGGCAACGGAGUGAAACUCUGCCUCAAAAAAAUAAAAAUAAAAGACUGUAUGUUGGAGCUACAGCUCUAUAAUAAAGAACUCUAAAUAAAGACUAUAUAGUAUAGGAAAUCAAAACAAAAGUGGGCAUUAUAAUCCAAUAUACAAUUUUCAUAUUCGAGUUUUUUAAUACUACUUCCAUCCUGUCAUCCUCUCCACUCCUGCUUCUCUGCUUCCUACUCUGUGGCUUCCCCACAUCCAGGAAAUCUGCGAUGCUGCUAUAUUUAAUUAAAAGUUUCAGAUGAGAUUUGUUAGGAACCUUAGAGGGGAUGUAGCAAUUCCAUUAGUGCCCAUAUAUUUGUCUCUUAAUGGUACAGCCUUAGACUCUGAAUAAAAUGAUGCACAUCUUGAGUCCUAUUUUGUAGAUAUUAAAAACAUACCUUUUAUAGGUCCUUCCCUUCCCCCAUCUUUUCUAUGAUGUCACUGCUUCAUUUAUGUAUAGCCAUAAGCUGAGAACUGCAUUUAUUCCUACAUUUUCAUUUUCACAUGACUGCUCUAAUUCACAAGUUACUUAUUUCCCAUGCCUCUCUACACUUGGUGCCUUCUGUGGUACCUGUCACAUGCUGCCGAUAAAUUUUCUUUUGAACUGAACUAUAAGAUAUGUUAUGAACGUAAUUAAGAGAGUUUUUUCUCCCUCUUAGAACCAUAUAGUACUAAACAGGAGAUGCAAAGAAUGGAGCUCACAGGGCAAAGAUCCAAUGUCAGUCUCUUCACAUUGCAUGAUAAGUGAAUAUGGUCCUUUCUUGAAAUAAGGCUAGACAGUUCUGUCCCCAGGAGCUCUGACAGAACACUUUCUUUGAGAUGAGUGCUCAUAUCAACUGAAGCUAGUUCACAUUUCCUUUAAAAUUAAUGUAAAGUUGAAUGAGUACUUUAUCCACUUACCUACUUUGUAAAAAGUGAGUCCUAUUCUACUUAAAUGAAAGCUAAAGAAACCACAAGUCAUUAGCCUGGAAAUACUUUUGAUGAAAGACCAAUUUUCUAUUGAGUUAUGUUUAAAACCAGGGGAGUUUUCUCUCACUUUCCUUUUUUGCUUAGUUAUUUUUCUCUUCUUUGAUUGUGCCUUUGUAUUAUAAGAAGGAGGCUGCUGUGUUUCAUUGUCACAAAUGGGUCAUGCAUUUGUUCCAAUGUGUGACCUCUGGAAAGGAGAAGAUUAUAUUAUCAAGGAAUAGAAGGUUGUAGCUUGGAUGAUUUGUUAAGGAAGAAAAAGUUAAGUGUUCAGCAGAGAGAUACUGAGAAGAGUAGGAAAUCUUUUAGGUUGUUACAGCAGAGGAAUAUUUUGUUCAAAAAAAAGAUCAUACAUAAAGCCACACUUCAUUAUUAAAAUAUUAAGUGCACACUUUUUUUUCAGGACAAAGCCCUUAAGUAUUACUCUGUCAUUAACUCACUAGGGAACCUAAACUCUUAUCUUCUAAUCAGGGCUAUUAUAUCAAUUAAACGAAACAUGAUAUGCAAGUACUUAGCCAAGUGCCUAGCACAGAGUAAUGGUCUCAAUAAAUUCUGGUGAUACAACAUAGGAUUAGUCACCAUUAUUAUUAAUUGCUAUAUGAUAGAAUGGGCAUUACUAAAAUAUAAUUAGUUCAUAUUCUGGAAAGAUCAGACAAAUAUAUGUAUUCAAAUGAGUUUUUUAUUUGAAUUGUAUUUAUUUGAUUUCAGUUAAGGGGGUUUAUUUGUUUCUGGGGAAAGCAUUGCAAAAGACAAAAUUAUUGCUUGAAGAGCGAGCAUCUGUUGCAGAGGAACUUUAAGAUGGCAAAGGAAACACAACUAGAAGGACGUUGGCAUCACUGAAAGCCUAGAGGAAGACUCUGAGGUCUGGAAAAGGAAGAAACAAAAGCCUGCACUGCCUGAGUCAAAGAGACAGAGGAAAAAAGAAGGGAGAAGGAGGUCAUAUUAGUGAAGCAGAGUUGGUGCUGGGCCUUGAAGCUGAGUUUGAGAAGUUAACAUUCUUUACUUCUGAUCAUAAACAAUUUAAAAACUAUGGCCCAUCUCGGGGGAAAGAAGCAGCUGUGACCCAGAAUAUAUAGAUAAUCAAAUAUUGAUCACCCUUUCUACCCUUAGAGCCUUGCUUGUUCCUUUGAGUGAGGUUUCUCUGGGCAGAAUCUGACAUGCUAUUUUUAAUAAGAAAAAGCCUUUUUUGUUUUGUUUUGUUUUACUGUUGAGCACAAUAUGACUACACCAGCUUAGCCUAAUAGGGAAUCAAGGUUUCCUCUGAUUGUCAAACGUGCACCUAUAACUGGUGCUGAUCAUUUUUUAUCAGUCAGUGCAUCACAUGUGCUCUGGUGGAAUCCAUCUUCCAUCACAGCAAGAUCAAUCAACUCUAAUUUUAAAAACCAAAAGGAAACUAUGUACAAAAAUAGGAAAAUGCUAUAUUUAUAACUGUAAAAUAUUCACAGAAAUGGUUAAUACAAAAUGAACAUUUUUCAAAUAAUGUUUAUUUAUUAUUGGAUUUUCAGUUCACAAUGUAUCAUGAGUAAUGAUGUAAGAAAAUUCUUUGUAAGAAAUGGUUGGAUAGCCUUCCUUAAUAUUUAGGAAAAAAAGUCUAAGCCUGUUUACGUUCAAAUCUAAAGCUGAACACCUGGCCAGAGCUUGUUGUAGACCUUUUGGUGAGCUGCCGCUAAUUCAUAAAGUAACUUUGUGCAAAUUAGAAAAACAUACCUCCUGGAGGCAGACUGUCUUGUGCCAUUACAAUCUCCUCAACCAGGAGGUAGCCCUGUUACAUGGGCUACCUUAUGGCACCUGGGCAAAGCUGGACAAUUGCAAUAUACCAGCAGGCCUUUCCUCUUAGAUAAGCUUGGAAAAAAAGUUAGCUUGUUGCAUGAUGAUAUUUCUUUUGGCAUGGAUAACAGGUAAAAACCCUAAAGAGCACAUUAUUUUCUGUAGAAUUUAUAACAUUGAUUUUGUUACAAUUAACUUUAUUUAAAUAAAUUGCAAAUUAAGCUACUAUAAUUUGGCUCUGAUCAACAAAUAUCCAUCUACAUUAUGUAUUUAUACACUUACAUAAAAGUUGGAGACUAGUUCCAUGCAACACAGACAAAAAAAGAAUUAGAUUGCUUUGCCUGAAGAGUAAAGAAAGUAUUUUCUUUGAAUAUCCUGCCAGAGGAACCUGCCAGAUGUUUUCCAUCUUUUCUGAGUGCAGAAAAAAAAGAAAACUGGCUUAAGCUACGUAGAUAUUUCAGCUCUGGAAAAAGUUUCCUGACAAAGAGAAUAAUAAAAUUAGUUUAUAACAAAACCUUUUUUUCUCAAGGUAGAUAGAAUUUUAAAGGCAAGAAUAAGCAUUUUAUUGGCCCACAUUUUAAAACCCAGUUUUUCCUUUCCUUUAGAAAUAUAAGGAUAAUUUCUAGAUAAAAUCAGCAUUUUUAACUGUAAGAAAAAUUAAUAAAGGUAUAUAAAACAGGCCUCACAUAUUCAUUUCUUAUCAUAAAGAAACGGAUUUUUGCCUGGAAAAAUACCCCUACUUGUCUAAAAUAGUUAAGUGUGGAUAAAAUGUAGUCUGGAGGAAAGGGCAACAGAGUAGGUAGUUUCAAUUACUAGAUUUUUGCCAUCAUGUUUCUAUAACAAAAAACACCAUUACAUAAAAAUAGUAGAUUAGUAAAGCGAAAAGGAGAGGAAAUGUAUAAAAUUCAUAUUAUAACAAAAUAUUGUUAUCUAGAAAUAGUUUACUAGUAAAGCAAAAAAGAAAGGGAACAUACACAAUAUAGUGAGUUGUUUGAGUAAAGAAAUCCACAACCUAUUUUUUUUUCCUUGACUAGCACUGGACUAGAAAACAGAAAAACUAGGGUCCUAACCAGCUAUGUGAUAUCAGGCAAUUUACAUUCCCUCUCUGAUCCUCAGUUUUCUCAUUUGAAAAAUUAUAUGGUCACACUAGUUACUGAAGGCUCUUCCAGCCCUAAUAUUUUUGUUGGAAUUCUUUACAUUCUUUAUCUUUAAGACAUCAGAGUUCUCAAAUUUUAGGAUACAUCAAAAUCACCUGGGAAUUUGAUAAGACAGCAGAUUCCACCCCAGAGAUUCUAAGCCCCUCUCCAGAAACUCUGAUUCAGUACAUAGGCUCCAAAGCAUCAUUUUCCACAUACUGUCUCCACGGUGAGAUUGCAGGAAGGUGCAAAAGAGAGAACAGGAGACAUGUCUUAUUAAAACUAUAAAUUGAGUAACUAGCAGAGUGUCUGGCAAAGAAUAGAUGGCCAACAAAUGUUGAUUUAAUGAACUAUUUUUCAUUAAAAGAUUCCUUUAUGUUCAUGAUAUUAAUGGAUUUUCAUCAUUAUCUGAUUCUCUAAGAGAACGAGGGCUUAUUUCUAACAGAGGGAAAAUAGUCUAGGUUGCUCAGUAGCUACAAAUUGAUGUAGAAGUGCUUUGUAAAAUUAGCAAAUGUUUUAAAAUUAUUUCUUUUUUUCAACAUAGCUCCCCUCCAAUCUUCAAUGUAAAAGAAAAAAAAAUGAAUUCUGUACUUGUAUACUUUUUGUAAGUGGCAUAAUAACAAUAUGCUCUUUUUAUUCUGAAAAAGGACUCACUCUUUACAGUAAAGUGCUGGAAAAUCAAGCCAUCACUUCAACCCACAGCAUCUGUCUCUUGCACCAUCUCUGCCAAAUGUCACCCUUCCUCUCGGGUUUGAUUGUGCUACUGUAUCUGGGAGAGUAUGCCUCACUGCAUAGCUUGUAAUAUCAGUCUCUGUGCCUUCCGGUCUCAGAUUCCCUCUCAUUUCACCUCAUGUAUAUUAAUACAGAGAUUAGUUUCACUUUUUUUCUUGAAUAGCUAAUCACUUGGCAGCCAACAUCCAACUGUGGCAUUACAGGUCAAAUCAGCUGAAAAGGACAGUGACUUCAAGCAGGAAAAUAUAAUGCUUAGUGAAAACUGCACCCAGAACAGGACCUCAGACUUGUCACCCGGACAUGAAAGAUUUAUUUUCAAUUACAAAUCUGAGCUUAAUGUGAGGGCACCCUGGGGGAGAUUCAGAUCACUGCCUCUUCUAAAUUGACCUUCUACUUGUUUUAAUAUUUCCUUCUCUGCUGAACAGCAUUCCAUGACCCUCUGAGCUGAAGAUCCAUAUUAGCUGCUGUAGUAAUUCCAACCCUAGGAAAACUUUUGAAAAAUUUCUCUAACUGAAGGCCAAGUUACAUGAAUAAUUUUCUCCUUGGUGAGCCUUCACUGGCUAACACAGCAAUAGAUUGGGGGCUUCAGACAGUACCUCCAGAGGAUUGCGGAAGCCAAUAUCACCAUGUUGCUUAAAUUUGAGUGGAAUCCAAAAGCCAAAAAUUAUUCCAAUUUUCAAUAUUAGGUGGAUUAAUUGUAAACAGCUAACUCAGAACUAUCAUAUAUCCCCUUGGCGUUGGUAAACAAGAUUCCUUGAGGCUAGCUGCUGAUACUGCUACACUGGCUGCUGGAAUCAGGAGUUUGCCUCAGGAUAUUUCAGUUCCUUGUUUUAGUGCAUUUAUGCGCACUUACCAGAUGCACCAAAAUACAUACCAUAUGGCCCUAAUAUAGGGUUCGCAAACUUGUCUCUUAAAAAGUACUGAUUGUGAUUUCUUAGGAAAAGUCCUUUUUAAUUUUUUUUUUUUUUUUUUUUUUUUUGUAAUUUAAAGUUUGGGAUAGUGAGAAACUUGAAUUAUCUUUCAAGUUUUAUCAGAGACCUGAUUAUUGAAAAGUAGCUUAGUGUAAUUUUCUUUCUUCUAUAGCUUUCAUUGCAUCUAACUUGAGACUUUUCUCUCUACCUGUGUUUCUAGAUCAUUUGUUGUAGAAUACUUACACCAUUCUUGGUUGUCACCUUUGAGUCUAAUUAUUAUGCCCAUAAUCAUGGAUAAUUGUGUUAGAUGAAAAUAAACAUAUUACCUUCACUUAGUUAAUCUUAUCGAUAUUUAGGUUUUCCAUAGUGAUUUUAUCUACGUAAUGUCAGGAAUGGUAGAUACAAUCUACCAUUGUGUCUACCAAUACAAAAAAAAUUGGGUCCAGUUUUUCCUUUCCUUUAGAAAUAUAAGGAUAAAAUCUAGAUAAAAUCAGCAUUUUUAACUGCAAGAAAAAUCAAUAAAGUUAUAUAAAACAGGCCUCACAUAUUCAUUUCUAGUUUUUGUAAACACAGUGUAGUCUAACUAUAUUUGUAUUUAGGCUAUGCAUAAAAAGAAAUCAUUAACUAAUUCUCCCUUGUUAUAUAUAUUUUAACUACUUUUUUUCCAGAAUCAAAGGUGCUUAGAAAUAGCCACCUUUAACUUCAUAAGUAUUUAUGAUACACCUACUAUAUGUGUGGCACUUUGCCAGAUAUAGGGAUGGUGUUAAACAAAUUUCCAACUCAGUGUUGGUACACAGCUACAAAUGAACGUCUAGAUUAAACUGGGUGUUUAGAGGAAGGUAGGAUAGCUAUGUUUGAAGUACUCCCAAAAAACGUUUAAGCGAAACCUUAGAGACAGAAGGAGUUGACCAUUUAAAUAAGUCAAAGAUUGGGAGGCCGAGGUGGGCGGACCACAAGGUCAGGAGAUCGAGACCAUGCUGGCUAACACGGUGAAGCCCCAUCUCUACUAAAAAUACAAAAAAUUAGCCGGGCGUGGUGGCGGGCACCUUGUAGUCCCAGUUACUCAGGAGGCUGAGGCAGGAGAAGGCCAUGAACCUGGGAGGCGGAGCUUGCAGUGAGCCGAGAUCGUGCCACUGCACUCCAGCCUAGGCGAUAGAGCAAGACUCUGUCUCAAAAAAAAAAAAAAAAAAAAAGCGCAAGUCAAAGAGCAGUGGUACUUUGCAGAGAGGAAUCUGUGAAUGAGAGUGACAGUGAUAAAAUCAGCCAAACUCCUUCUGACUGCAAAGACUAGAAUAUUUUGAUCAAUUUUGAGAUUUAAAGAGAAUAUUUAGGUUAUUAUAGAACUAAGUCUUUUUCUCUUUCUUUCUUUUCUUCUAUUUAUUUAUUUAUUUAUUUAUUUAUUUAUUUAUUUUUGAGAUAGGGUCUCACUCUGUCGCCCAGGCCGGAGUGCAAUAGUGUGAUCUCGGCUUAGUGCAACCUCUGAUUCCUGGGCUCAAAUGAUCCCCCCAUUUCAGCCUCCUAAGUAGCUGGAACUACAAUCAUGUACCGCCAUGCCCAGCUAAUUUUUGCAGUUUUUAUAUAGACGAUGUUUUGCCAUGUUACCCAGGCUGGUCUCAAACUCCUGGGCUCAAGUGAUCCGCCCACCUCGCCCUCCCCAAGUGUUGAGAUUACAGGCGUGAGCCACUGCUCCUGGCCUUCUUCAACAGAAAAUUUUUAUUAAAAAAUUAUAAAGGAAGUUUUAAAUGUAUUGAGCAUAGUGUAUGUUAAUGUUCUCCCAUUCCCAGAGUAUCGUGAUAAGUCAAAGGCCAAGUUCAUUAAGUUACAUGCUCCAUCAGGCAAGAGAGUAUAGUAAUAGAAGUCCUAUCAGGAAGUUCAUUCAUUUGUUAUUUAUUUAUUAUUUCAUGAAAUAUUUAUUCCAUGGAAAUUAAGCUAGGUGUCAGGAACACAAAGAUAUACUCUGUUUAUUCAGGGGACAUAGGCCAAUACACCCAGUGACAACUUGUCAAGAGCGCCAAUGGAAGUAAAUCCAGAGAUUGGUUGCUUAAUCAUCUUCUCUACAUCUCUCCAAAAUGCUGUCCCACUUCUCAGACAAUAUUUGAAAUGUUCAAAGAAAGCUGAUUCCUUGCCCUGCUCAUUAUCUUUAUUUUUUCUAGUGACAUAAUCUACAUAACUCAUAUUACCAUGCUGUUUCCAUAAUCUAUGAAAUUUAAGCCAUUAAUAAUAUUUUUUAGCUAGGAUGAAUUAUAGACAUGAGUGCUUUCAAUUUUUAUUUGGUGUGUGCAUGUGUGUUUGUGUGUGUGUGGCGGUGUGUUGGUACUUCUAUGUGCAACGUAUGUGAGAUUAUUUAGUACUGUUCUAGAUUGUGGUUUUACCCCAUUUUAUGCCUCUUUUUUGGAAAUGAAAUACCCCUAUACUCCAAAACUUAGGAAUAAGCUUCAGUUUCUGUUUCCUGUAAUUACUAGAAUUUUUAAAUAAUUUUCAUAUGCAAAAGUCAAUUCAAGAUGGAUUAAAGACUUAAAUGUAAAACCCAAAACUGUAGAAACCCUAGAAGAAAACCUAGGUAAUACGAUUCAGGACAUAGGCACAGGCAAAGAUUUCAUGACGAAGACACCAAAAGCAAUUACUAAAAAAGCGAAAAUUGACAAAUGGGAUCUAAUUAAACUAAAGAGAUUCUGCACAGUAAAGAAAUUAUCAACAGAGAAAACAGAC
rnacentral:lncRNA from 1 species